rnacentral:rRNA from 1 species
GAUGAACGCUAGCGACAGGCUUAACACAUGCAAGUCGAGGGGCAGCGGGGUGUAGCAAUACACCGCCGGCGACCGGCGCACGGGUGAGUAACGCGUAUGCAACUUACCUAUCAGAGGGGGAUAACCCGGCGAAAGUCGGACUAAUACCGCAUGAAGCAGGGGCCCCGCAUGGGGAUAUUUGCUAAAGAUUCAUCGCUGAUAGAUAGGCAUGCGUUCCAUUAGGCAGUUGGCGGGGUAACGGCCCACCAAACCGACGAUGGAUAGGGGUUCUGAGAGGAAGGUCCCCCACAUUGGAACUGAGACACGGUCCAAACUCCUACGGGAGGCAGCAGUGAGGAAUAUUGGUCAAUGGGCGAGAGCCUGAACCAGCCAAGUAGCGUGAAGGAUGACUGCCCUAUGGGUUGUAAACUUCUUUUAUAAAGGAAUAAAGUCGGGUAUGGAUACCCGUUUGCAUGUACUUUAUGAAUAAGGAUCGGCUAACUCCGUG